UCCCUGGUGGUCCAGUGGGUAAGACUCUGCACUCCCAAUGCAGGGGGCCUGGGUUCAAUUCCCAGUCAGGGAA